UACGAAGGGGGCUAGCGUUGCUCGGAAUCACUGGGCGUAAAGCGCACGUAGGCGGAUUGUUAAGUCAGGGGUGAAAUCCUGGAGCUCAACUCCAGAACUGCCUUUGAUACUGGCGAUCUCGAGUCCGGGAGAGGUGAGUGGAACUCCGAGUGUAGAGGUGAAAUUCGUAGAUAUUCGGCAAGAACACCAGUGGCGAAGGCGGCUCACUGGCC
rnacentral:rRNA from 1 species